GAGCACUUGAUACUAACCGAGCCAUCCGUGCCUCGGGCCCUGCGCAGAGGUCCGGGGUGCACCUUGUGAUUGCUGGGUCUGAAAAGUGCGACAGUAACACAAGCCAUGAGAUGUAUAAGCUCAGUGUAUGAAGGAAAACACUGGGUUAUAACUCAGAGGCACAGAA